UUCAAAAUUAAAAAAAAAAAUCCUAUAAAAAAGUCAUCAAUUUUUGUUCAAAAUGCUUGAAAAGCUCGAAUGGUCGAACUAGUGCUCGAAAAAUUUUCAGCAAUGAGCAAUAAAAGAGUGUGCAAAUGCUGCUCGAAAAUGUUCAAACAUAAACUUGAGGAAACCAUAACCAUGGUGUGUCAAAUAGCAAAUUUCAUCGCAGAUGCUUUUUUGACCAAAAUUUUCAAAUGUGAGCAAAUCAAUUAUAUGAUGCAACAUUCGAGCAUGCAGAUGAUGCUAAAUAUCCAUUCAAGCUCCAUAUAUGUACGUGUAUGUGCACUAAAACAAGCAAAACGAUGACGGAAGAGGGAAUUUUACAAAAAUGUUCUAAAAUG